rnacentral:rRNA from 1 species
UACGAAGGGGGCUAGCGUUGCUCGGAGUGACUGGGCGUAAAGGGCGCGUAGGCGGCUUUGUAAGUUAGAGGUGAAAGCCCGGGGCUCAACCCCGGAACUAGCCUUUAAGACUGCAUCGCUUGAGCACGGGAGAGGUGAGUGGAAUUCCGAGUGUAGAGGUGAAAUUCGUAGAUAUUCGGAAGAACACCAGUGGCGAAGGCGGCUCACUGGACCGUUGUUGACGCUGAGGUGCGAAAGCGUGGGGGAGCAAAACAGGAUUGAGAA